rnacentral:rRNA from 1 species
CCUACGGGGGUCAUCCUCCGGGAAUAUUGGACAAUGGGGGCAACCCUGAUCCAGCCAUGCCGCGUGUGUGAAGAAGGCCCUCGGGUUGUAAAGCACUUUCAGUGAGGAAGAACGCCUGGUGGUUAAUACCCAUCAGGAAAGACAUCACUCACAGAAGAAGCACCGGCUAACUCCGUGCCAGCAGCCGCGGUAAUACGGAGGGUGCGAGCGUUAAUCGGAAUUACUGGGCGUAAAGCGCGCGUAGGUGGCUUGAUAAGCCGGUUGUGAAAGCCCCGGGCUCAACCUGGGAACGGCAUCCGGAACUGUCAAGCUAGAGUGCAGGAGAGGAAGGUAGAAUUCCCGGUGUAGCGGUGAAAUGCGUAGAGAUCGGGAGGAAUACCAGUGGCGAAGGCGGCCUUCUGGACUGACACUGACACUGAGGUGCGAAAGCGUGGGUAGCAAACAGGAUUAGAUACCCUGGUAGUC